rnacentral:rRNA from 1 species
AUUGAACGCUGGCGGAAUGCUUUACACAUGCAAGUCGAACGGCAGCACAGACUUCGGUCUGGUGGCGAGUGGCGAACGGGUGAGUAAUACAUCGGAACGUGCCCAGUCGUGGGGGAUAACGUAGCGAAAGCUACGCUAAUACCGCAUACGAGCUAAGGAUGAACGCGGUGGAUCGCAAGACCUCGCGAGAUUGGAGCGGCCGAUGGCAGAUUAGGUAGUUGGUAGGGUAAAGGCCUACCAAGCCGACGAUCUGUAGCUGGUCUGAGAGGAUGAUCAGCCACACUGGGACUGAGACACGGCCCAGACUCCUACGGGAGGCAGCAGUGGGGAAUUUUGGACAAUGGGCGCAAGCCUGAUCCAGCCAUGCCGCGUGUGUGAAGAAGGCCCUCGGGUCGUAAAGCACUUUAAGUUGGGAGGAAGGGCUUACAGCGAAUACCUGUGAGUUUUGAUGUUACCGACAGAAUAAGCACCGGCUAACUUCGUGCCAGCAGCCGCAGUAA